CCAAACAUGGGUCGUGUUAUCCCCUAUGCCACCACGGCACGCCCCAGCACUCAUCUUUUUAAGUUCUGUGCAACUCUUCAGCCAACAGCACAGAGGAAAAGCAUCAUCCAGGCUCCUGUGGACACAUCCCGCUUUGUCGGCUCCGUCGGAGCGGAGUUCACGCCUCACUUCCUCCUUUAAACAAACCGGACGACAGCUCCACUCUUCAAUCAAAUACAACACCUUCCUUUUAAAGUUUGUAUGACAGAUAUUUCCCGCUCCGGUCAGGACAAAGCGGUGCAGAGGUCUGCAGUCUACCUGCGGACAUAAGGAGAAGCGCUCCAGAGUGGAGGGGAGGCUCUGAAUGCUGCAGCUAUGCUGGGAAUGUGAGCUUCUGUUCUGCCAGAACCGGAUGGGAGAAGCCCGAACGUCUAUUGAAGGAAGUAGAAGCAUCUUCAUUUUUGGUAUAUUUUGUCAUGUCCCAAAAGAGAUCAUCGUAUUUGAAAAAAUAUUUGUGAAGAAUUCCUCGUAGACUGAGACAUGCUAAUGAAGUGAAACAGGACUCUGAUAGAUUCCUCAUCCUGAACCCAAGUAAGCUCAAUCUUAAAAAAGGAUGUAUUUUUAUAGAUGAUGUUGUUCUCCUCGUAUUUUCAGACACUAGAUAUUAAAAUGUGGAAAAGAAAAAGCUGUGAAUACUUUCCAGAUGCGCCGUACAUCGGGGGCUGCUGAUAACGAUUAUUAUAUUAAUUGUUAGUUACUUCUGAUGAUGAAUCAGAUAAUAAAAUUACCAGAUUCUGCUGAUUUCUGAACCUUUUUAUACAACAUUAGAAAUACAUAAAAAUGCAAAUUAACAAUUUCUUUUUAAUUAAAAAAAAUAAACAUCCUAUUGCCUAAUAUGCAAUAAAAGCAUUCCUUUAUUGAACAUUUACCCAUUUGUAGCAAAGAAUGCAUCAAUACAGUGUAGGGCUGAUCUGUUGGAUGAACCAAUCAAUAAACUGAUAGCAAAACUUUCUUGAUAGGAGAAUUUAUUUAGAGAAAUUGAACCGGGUGAAGCUGAAGCUGCUUUUUGAGGACGUCUGGGUUUGAGAUGCAAAAUGGACAUACUGUAUUUUUUGGUACAUUUUGUCUUAGUUAUUGCUUUUAGUGUGUUGUUCUCACAGAAAAUUGCUUUUUGUUGAGUGUGCAUAUUUGAGUUAACAAUUAAUCGAUCACUGUAUUAGUUGAUAAUUAUUUCGAUAAUCGAUUAAUCAUGAUUAAUUUGAUUAAUUGUGAUCAAUCUUAAUCUCUCUUAGC